UAAGAGAAAAGGAAUGUAGUUAUGACUAAAUGCAUAUAACAAAUGCAUAUAACAAGCAGUACACAAGCAAUUGCUCACCCAGCAAAUGCCCAACGAGCCCCCCAAGUGGAAGAGAGCGAGAUGAACUCCCAUCACCUUCAGAACUCCUUCCACAUGAUGUCACAUGGUAUGGAAUAUUCCUUCGACCAGCUUCAGUCAGCUGUCCUCAUUCUGUUCUCUCCCAGAUCCCCAGGUCCUUCACUGAGCAUGGCCUUGCCUCUGUACAUCACUGCGUCACUUAUGCCCUGUCCCUGGAGGUGUUCAAGGCCAGGCUGGAUGGGACGCUGAGCAGCCUGGGCUGGUAUUAAAUGUGGAGGUUGGUGGCCCUGCCUGUGGCUGGAGAUUCAUGAUCCUUGAGGUCCCUUCCAACCCUGGCCAUUCUGUGAUUCUGCAGCUAUUAACACUGAUGUUUGACACUCUGAAGAAAAUAAUUCCAUCCCGGCUCAAACUAGCCACCUGUACAUUAUGGUCUUCCCUAGAGAGAAAGAGACCCCUAAAACAAACAGGAAGGACUAAGGGUUGGCCCACGUGCUCUCCGCUGCAAUGAUGCACCCACCAGGCCUCUGGGGGCUGGCCUGGUUCUAAUGUCUUCAGGGCCAUUUCUGUGCUGUGUCACUUCUUUGCAUCUCACCAGCUCUUCCCAUUCUAGAUUUUCCCUUGGGCCCAGAAGCAAAGAGUGAGGAAGACGGAAAGCCACAGAUGUGUAUCGUUGAAUUUCUGUUUGGAUAGAUCCCAGAAAGGAGCACCAAGUACUAAUGAACACCAUCUCUCCAUCCCUUUGUGCACUGUCAGUAUGGACUGCCCUACGGUGCUAUGCACAGAGCUCCACUUGCUUGCUGAUGAUCACCCUUAUCUCCAUUUGGGAGACAUGCAGCAGCCUGCACAGCCGUCUGUCAACAUGACCACUGCCAAGGCAGGAUUAGAUGAGCCACUGCAAUGACAGCAAAUAAUUGUGAGAGGCCCCCUGCUUCCCAUUGGAUCUGUGUUGCUCCAAGCAGCCCUGUAAAAUGCCAGGUACCACUCCCACAGAGUUCCCUGUUUGACAGGGACAUGAAGAAUUCACCUCUGAGAGUUACUCCAGCUAACAGCCUCCAUGUGACCUGUGCAGGCAGGAUGGCAAGAUGUUUGCCUUGCAGCCUGGCAGAGGCAGCCUGGGUGAAGUAAUUGGGAUGAGGCUGUGCCUGGCCACAGCAGAGAACUGGAGGUCUUCAGAAGAAGCUAUGGGCUUGGGCUGCUGGAUACGUCCCCAGCUUCUUGUCUGAGAGCUAGUCCAAGACUAAUUCAGCCUGCAGCAGGAUGCUCUCCCACAAGGCUUACCUCUUCUCAUCACAGCCCAUAUGGAUACUAUCCGCACCCAGCUUCUGUCCUGAGGGACCCAUGGGACACCAGACAAGCAGAGCUGCACUUGCUGGAACUGGAUAUUGGAUUUCAGAUUACAGAAUCACAGAACUGCAGGAGUUGGAAGGGACUUCAAGAGAUCAUCAAUACAACCCUCCUGCUAAAUCAGAUUCUCUACAAGAGUUUGCACAGGUUUUCCAACACUGCAAUAUCAAACUUUGCUUCAGCUUGGACUUCAGUUGCUUUUGAGCUAGACCAAACCAGUACUAAACUCCUCGACAAGUUAGUUUAGUCCAGGGCCAUGUGGAAUGGCUACCUUUCUCCUUGGGAAAAAGGAAUUCAAGUGUAGAAGACCUGCUCACAUAUGUGCUCACCAUUCAGUGAUGGAAACCUAUAGGUUCAGAGCUGAUUGGAGCAGACACAGUAACAUUGAGUUUUAUACUUGAUUACUUCAGAAAAGUAGAAAAUAAUCAAUGAAUCCAGCUGGUGCCAUAAAAUAUAUUUUGAAGAUGUUUUAAAAAAUAAUUUAAGUCUUAACAUUCUUGGUCACUUAAAAUACUCCAUUAGGAAUAGCCAAAAGCAGCAUUAAACUACUAUGUUCAGUUGCCUGUGAAUGCAGGAUUUUUGUGAAAUUAGAGGAUUUAAGGAAGAGGCAGAUUUGUAGUUCUUUAAUGGAUGCAUGGUUAAAAUUCUGCCUGUGGAAAGUAGUAUUUUUUGUUUUUAUUGCUGUAGUACAUAGAAGUGCUAAACUUGUGGCAUUUGAUUUAGGAGGGCAAGGUAAAUUCAAACUUAGUAUAAAUGAUUUUUUUGGUUAAUUACUAAGCAAUUUUAAAAUGGAUUUCCCAGAAACAUUGUUUAGUAGAAGUACUUAGAAGUACUUGAACCUGACAGGUAGUAUUUUCGAUACAGUUACACUUGUUUUCUAUUAUUUUAGGAAUUCAAAUCAUAUUCCCUGUUCAUUCACUCACAUCUGUAUUUAUAUACUUCCCUAGACCUGCUGCUGCAUUUCUACACUUGUUCUGCCAAAGAAAAGUAUAGAGCUGUCUAGAACUCAUCCUGCUUUCAAACAAACUGUUUACUUUAAAUCAGUUUUUAUAGCAGUGGUGAUUUAACUGCAAAUGGGAAACGUCAGCAUAGUUUUCUUAUUAACACUCUAUCAUGGAAUAUGCUUCAAUUAUUUCCCCUCCUUCUCUGCAUUUGCCAAAGAAAGCAGCUAAGCCACCUGCUGCUUUUACCGUGACUGCUCCAUUGCCUGGGAGGAGGAAAAAGCUGUUCUUGAUGUGGCGGCCUGUGCCAGCACACAGACACAAGGCACUGGUCACUCUAACAUGGCCAAUAGUCUAUUCUGGGGGCACAUCAUUUCCUGCAGCAGCAUCAAUCUCUUGUCAUGAGCUCUUCCACCAGCCGCAACCAGGGCUUCAGAAAGCUGCAGGGUAAGAAAGCAGGGUGGCAGAGAUCCAGAAUGCCUCCUUUGCGUUUUGUCCACAUCAGGAGACAUGGUUAGACUUACAGCAAGCCAUCCAACUUGGAAAGCACAGCUGCUAGAACUCAGUGGCUUUGACUAGAGAUAUCAAGCAAAGUAACCACUCAUCACAGACCCUGG